UGAACCAUUACCCUUAAAGUCAAGCAUGACUAUGAGGGCAAUGGUUCGAGUCCCCACGGACUCAAACUCCCUCAAUUAAUUAUAAUUGUGUGGAGAUUGUUUAUAACGUCUUUCUCCCUUGUGAAAUGCGAGUGGAGUCGAGACAUCCCUCUUCCUUGAAGGGUAUUUGGUUGGGCAUGUACUUUAUAGAAUAAAAAUAUAAUAGUGUAAGUCACAUGUAUAUAUCUUAUUGUAAAUAUCAGUGCAAUGAUAUGUUGUUAUUUGUAAAUAUCUCUAUAUUAAUAAUAAUGUAAGUCACAUGUAUAUAUCUGAUUGUAAAUAUCAGUGCAAUGAUAUGUUGUUAUUUGUAAAUAUCUCUGUGUAAUACAGUAGUAACCUGAUGCUUAA
rnacentral:lncRNA from 1 species